GAAACAUCUAUGUUUAAUCUAUAAAAUAAAAUUAAACAGACCUAUAAAAAUCCAAUUGCAGGUAUUGGUUUAAUCUAUUCAUAUCUUUAUUUAUGUUUACAUCGCUUAUAUGGUCAUCUGAGGUCAAAUCGAUAGGUAAUUAGAUGGCGUCUGGACUAAAAUACACACGAACAAACCUAUAUAUUAUUUACCCCAUGCUCUGUACACUGUUUAUUUUAGACUUUUGAUAGUUUGGAUAAAUGUUUUACAUUGUUAUAAAUCAAAUGAGAAUUUGAGUCAAAUCGCUGACCUUGAAUUUGACAGCUAGUGCCCCUUUAAACCAUC
rnacentral:lncRNA from 1 species